rnacentral:rRNA from 1 species
UACGGAGGAUGCAAGCGUUAUCCGGAAUUAUUGGGCGUAAAGCGUCCGUAGGUGGUUAUACAAGUCAGCUGUUAAAGCGUGGGGCUUAACUCCAUAAAGGCGGUUGAAACUGUAGGACUAGAGUGUGGUAGGGGUAGCGGGAAUUCCCAGUGUAGCGGUGAAAUGCGUAGAUAUUGGGAAGAACACCGGCGGCGAAAGCGCGCUACUGGGCCACGACUGACACUGAGGGACGAAAGCCAGGGGAGCGAAAGGG